rnacentral:lncRNA from 1 species
GUACAUGAAAAUACCCCUCUCCACAGGGCCCUAAGAAUAUCUGAGUGCAGCCAGGGUCCCAGCUUUGAGACAGAUCUGGGUUCAAAUACAACUCCUUAUUGUUACCUGUUCUUGAUCCUGGAUAAGCCACUGUGCCUCUCAAGGCUUUCUGUCUCCUAUCUACACAAUAGGGAUUACUGUAGCAUAUACUUCCUAGGGGUGUCCUCAGGCAUAAGUGGGAUAAUACCCACAGAAUUGGAGGAGUGGUGUCACAUGUACCAUCAUAAACACUGCAAAUAAUAAAAGGAACAACAAAGGAGAACUUCAAAAGGUGGUAAAAGGAAGGCGAAUUGGUCAGGGGUCCCAAGUCUGGAAGAACAAACUUUAUCCGCCAUCCAACAAGAGAGGAUGGAUCUAUUGCAAUCCUGGCUGGAAGAUCUUCCCCUUCACAGCUGCUUUGUGUGUGCUUCUGCUAGACACCUGUAGUGAACACAGUGAUGUCCACCCUGAUAUAUCUUCAGGAACAAAGAGCUUAUUGUCCCUGAGACUGACAGUGCCACCAGCAGACAGUCCUCAGCUUCCAGCCCCCUUCUGACAUUGCCCUGCCACCCAAGAGUCCUCUCCAUGUGUCCUUCAAUGAAGAAGAUUAGCAGGAAAAUCUGCAGAUCAAGAAAAACUGUACUGAAGGAGCUAGCUAUAUUUGAGGAAUUACAUCCAAGUAUCCUCAUCCACACAUGGGACAGAGUUAGACAAUGAGAUCCUGGACUUUGAACUGAUGCUAUAAUUGGAUGAGACUUUGGAGGGAUUUGAGAAGUGGUCCAUGAUCCAUUUCAUAUGAACUUUUGUGUUUGGUGUGAGGAUCCUGGAUACUCACUUCUUGGAUGCCUUAGUUGUGCUCCACUGCCUUCAAA